GUUCAUGUGAUGAUUGUUCGGCUCAACUGCUGAAUGAUUCAGAAAUGAACUAAAGUUAACAUUCUGACCCGA